rnacentral:rRNA from 1 species
AUUGAACGCUGGCGGCAGGCUUAACACAUGCAAGUCGAGCGAGCGGCGGACGGGUGAGUAAUGUCUGGGAAACUGCCUGAUGUAGGGGGAUACCUACUGGAAACGGUAGCUAAUACCGCAUACCAUCAGAUGUGCCCAGUGGGGAUUAGCUAGUAGGUGGGGUAAUGGCUCACCUAGGCGACGAUCCCUUGCUGGUCUGAGAGGAUGACCGUCCAAACGGGAACUGGGCAACGGUCCAGACUCCAACGGGGGGAAGCAGGGGGAAUAUUGCACAAUGGGCGCAAGCCUGAUGCAGCCAUGCCGCGUGUGUGAAGAAGGCCUGCGGGUUGUAAAGCACUUUCAGCGAGGAGGCGUUACUCGCAGAAGAAGCACCGGCUAACUCCGUGCCAGCCGCCGCGGUAAUAC